rnacentral:rRNA from 1 species
AUUGAACGCUGGCGGCAUGCCUUACACAUGCAAGUCGAACGGUAACAGGUCUUCGGAUGCUGACGAGUGGCGAACGGGUGAGUAAUACAUCGGAACGUGCCUAGUAGGGGGGGAUAACUACUCGAAAGAGUGGCUAAUACCGCAUGAGCGCUACGGAGGAAAGCAGGGGAUCGCAAGACCUUGUGCUACUAGAGCGGCCGAUGGCAGAUUAGGUAGUUGGUGGGAUAAAAGCCUACCAAGCCGACGAUCUGUAGCUGGUCUGAGAGGACGAUCAGCCACACUGGGACUGAGAAACGGCCCAGACUCCUACGGGAGGCAGCAGUGGGGAAUUUUGGACAAUGGGCGCAAGCCUGAUCCAGCAAUGCCGCGUGCAGGAUGAAGGCCUUCGGGUUGUAAACUGCUUUUGUACGGAACGAAAAGCCCCGGGUUAAUACCCUGGGGUCAUGACGGUACCGUAAGAAUAAGCACCGGCUAACUACGUGCCAGCCGCCGCGGUAA